rnacentral:lncRNA from 1 species
GGCCCUAGAUGACUUUCAAAAUGUAUUCAUCAUUGAAAAAGUUUCAAAUUAUCUCCCUUUGGUGGAAAAUGCCAUUUUUUGGCUCUAAAAUUGAAAUAUCUUUUUCAACUCAUCGGUGACCUAUCUUUUUUAAUAUAAUUUCCAUAUAAGCUGUACUUAAACUAAAUCAUUGUAAAAUUUUAGCGAUUUCUGUAAUAAAUUUCUUUUUUUUUUAUUUCGAUAUUACCUUUAUUUCUCCUAUUACUUCAACAGAAAAAAACCACCUUUACAAAAAUGUAUGCUUCUUUCGAAGGCAGAUUGUGAGCGCAAAUGAACGGUGACCCCACUUUUUUAUUUUAUUUUUCUAUUAACUAUAAGAUAAAGUUCAUUUAUAGAAAAAUAUAGAGAAAUCCUAUAUAAAUGAUUUAGACCCGCGAACCCCCUUAAAAUAUGUAUU